rnacentral:rRNA from 1 species
UAUGUAGGGUGCAAGCGUUGUCCGGAAUUAUUGGGCGUAAAGAGCUCGUAGGCGGUUUGUCGCGUCUGCUGUGAAAAUCCAGGGCUUAACCCUGGACCUGCAGUGGGUACGGGCAGACUAGAGUGCGGUAGGGGAGAUCGGAAUUCCUGGUGUAGCGGUGAAAUGCGCAGAUAUCAGGAGGAACACCGGUGGCGAAGGCGGAUCUCUGGGCCGUAACUGACGCUGAGGAGCGAAAGCAUGGGGAGCGAACAGG